AUUGUGUGCACCUGUAGUCCCAGCUACUACAGAGGUUUAGGCAGGAGAAUCGCUUGAGACCAGGAGUUCUGGGCUGUAGUGUGCUAUGCUGAUCCACUAAGUUCUGCAUCAAUAUGGUGACCUCUUGGGAGUGGGGAACUACCAGGUUGCCUAAGGAGGGGUGAACAGGCCUUGGUCGGAAACAGAGCAGGUGAAAACUCCUGGGCUGAUUAAUAAUGGGAUAGCAUUUGUGAAUAGCCACUGCACUUCAGCCUGGGCAACAUAGCAAGACCUUGUCUCU
ensembl:misc_RNA Metazoa_SRP Metazoan signal recognition particle RNA